rnacentral:rRNA from 1 species
UGGGGAAUUUUGGACAAUGGGCGAAAGCCUGAUCCAGCAAUGCCGCGUGUGUGAAGAAGGCCUUCGGGUUGUAAAGCACUUUUGUCCGGAAAGAAAUCCUUGGCCCUAAUACAGUCGGGGGAUGACGGUACCGGAAGAAUAAGCACCGGCUAACUACGUGCCAGCAGCCGCGGUAAUACGUAGGGUGCAAGCGUUAAUCGGAAUUACUGGGCGUAAAGCGUGCGCAGGCGGUUUGCUAAGACCGAUGUGAAAUCCCCGGGCUCAACCUGGGAACUGCAUUGGUGACUGGCAGGCUAGAGUAUGGCAGAGGGGGGUAGAAUUCCACGUGUAGCAGUGAAAUGCGUAGAGAUGUGGAGGAAUACCGAUGGCGAAGGCAGCCCCCUGGGCCAAUACUGACGCUCAUGCACGAAAGCGUGGGGAGCAAACAGGAUUAGAUACCCUGGUAGUCCACGCCCUAAACGAUGUCAACUAGUUGUUGGGGAUUCAUUUCUUAGUAACGUAGCUAACGCGUGAAGUUGA